rnacentral:rRNA from 1 species
CCCUUAGAUGUCCUGGGCCGCACGCGUGCUACACUGACGCCUACAGCGAGUACUUCCCAGCCCCGAGAGGUGGCUGGUAAUCAGCAAUAGGCGUCGUGAUGGGGAUAGAUCUUAGGAAUUAUGGAUCUUGAACGAGGAAUGCCUAGUAAGCGCAGGUCAUUAGCCUGCGCUGAUUAAGUCCCUGCCCUUUGUACACACCGCCCGUCGCUCCUACCGAUUUCGAGUGGUCCGGUGAAUCUUUCGGACUGCGCGCGGCCUCGUGCCGUGUCGCGGAAAGUCAGGUAAACCUUAUCACUUAGAGGAAGGAGAAGUCGUAACA